rnacentral:rRNA from 1 species
AUGGACCAGAAGAAGCGUGAGUUCCGCAACCUCACCCAAGGCAACAAAAUGGUGGAAGCUUAUCAGCGAGAGUUUCUGGACUUGUCCCGCUACGCUGAAGAGGACAUUGCAACUGAUGCACGCAGACAGGAGAAGUUCCGGGAUGGCCUUCAAGCUGACAUCAAGCUCGCACUUCUAGUGCAUGACUUUGUUGAUUUCGCCACUCUGGUGAACAAAGCCAUCAAUGUCGAAACUGGUCUGCAGGAAUACCAGAGCUCUCACAGGCGCAGCCGUGACACGGGCUCAUCUUCGGGCCCGUCCUCGCAGAAGCGCAAGAUAUGGAUUCCCAACAGCAUGUACCAGCCGAAUGCACCUGCCCCAAGGCAGUCCUAUGCUGCACCUCGUCUGCCAACUGCUCCAACUAGGCAGCCAAGGCUUCCAGCUCCACCACCCCAAGCUCCUGUUCCUACUCCCGAGAAUGGUUUGUGCUUCAGGUGUGGACAACCAGGGCACCGUGCUAGGGAAUGCAACCAGAAACAGAAUCAACUGGCCCUUCCAGCAACUGGCCGUGGAAACAACCAGCCCCGCAACAACAAUGCCAAGUCUUAUGGUCGCGUUCAUGCCAACCAUGUUGAUCUGAACGAAGCCCAAGACCAGCCUGCUACCGUGAUGGGUACACUCCUCGUAAAUUCAGUACCAGCUUCUGUCUUAUUUGAUACAGGGGCAUCACAUUCAUUCAUAUCAGCUGAGUUUGCAUUCAUGCAUGGCAUUAAAUACGAAGAGAUGAACACUGCGAUUGUGGUACACACCCCUGCGGGCCAGUGUCAAACCUCUAUGGUUAGUCACAACGUCCCCGUUGAAAUUGAAGGACUGGAAUUCCUUGCCUCCCCCAUCGUACUAAAGUCCUGUAGCAUCGACCUCAUUCUGGGAAUGGAUUGGUUGAAAGCGCAUACUGCGUCUAUAGUUUGCGCCACUAAG